AGUUCCUUGGAACAGGGCGUCAUAGAGGGUGAGAAUCCCGUACGUGACCGAGGAUCGCACCCAUGUGAAACUCCUUCGACGAGUCGAGUUGUUUGGGAAUGCAGCUCAAAAUGGGUGGUAAAUUUCAUCUAAAGCUAAAUAUUGGCCAGAGACCGAUAGCGCACAAGUAGAGUGAUCGAAAGAUGAAAAGCACUUUGAAAAGAGAGUUAAACAGUAUGUGAAAUUGUUGAAAGGGAAGCGCUUGCAACCAGACUUGUUUGGCGGGUUCAACCCCCUUUUCGGGCGGUGUAUUUCCCGUCAUCAGGCCAGUAUCAGUUUGGGUGGAUGGUUAAAGGCCCCGGGAAUGUGAUACUCUUCGGGGUAUGUUAUAGCCCGGGGUGUAAUGCUUCCUACCCGGACUGAGGUACGCGCUUCGGCUCGGAUACUGGCGUAAUGGUUGUAAGCGACCCGUCUUGAAACACGGACCAAGGAGUCUAACAUCUAUGCGAGUGUUUGGGUGUCAAACCCAUACGCGCAAUGAAAGUGAACGGAGGUGGGAACCUUUUAGGCGCACCAUCGACCGAUCCUGAUGUCUUCGGAUGGAUUUGAGUAAGAGCAUAGCUGUUGGGACCCGAAAGAUGGUGAACUAUGCCUGGAUAGGGUGAAGCCAGAGGAAACUCUGGUGGAGGCUCGCAGCGGUUCUGACGUGCAAAUCGAUCGUCAAAUUUGGGUAUAGGGGCGAAAGACUAAUCGAACCAUCUGGUAGCUGGUUCCUGUCGAAGUUUCCCUCAGGAUAGCAGUAACGUUUUCAGUUUUAUGAGGUAAAGCGAAUGAUUAGAGGCCUUGGGGUUGAAACAACCUUAACCUAUUCUCAAACUUUAAAUAUGUAAGAAGCCCUUGUUACUUAAUUGAACGUGGGCAUUUGAAUGUAUCGUUACUAGUGGGCCAUUUUUGGUAAGCAGAACUGGCGAUGCGGGAUGAACCGAACGUGAGGUUAAGGUGCCGGAAUACAUGCUCAUCAGACACCACAAAACGUGUUAAUUCAUCUGGACAGCCGGACGGUGGCCAUGGAAGUCGGAAUCCGCUAAGGAUCGUGUAACAACGCACCGGCCGAAUGA
rnacentral:rRNA from 1 species